GACGAACGCUGGCGGCGUGCUUAACACAUGCAAGUCGAACGGAAAGGCCCUGCUUUUGUGGGGUGCUCGAGUGGCGAACGGGUGAGUAACAGGUGAGUAACCUGCCCUAGACUUUGGGAUAACUUCAGGAAACUGGGGCUAAUCCCGGAUAGGAGCUCCUGCUGCAUGGUGGGGGUUGGAAAGUUACGGCGGUUGGGGUUGGACUCGCGGCUUAUCAGCUUGUUGGUGGGGUAGUGGCUUACCAAGGCUUUGACGGGUAGCCGGCCUGAGAGGGUGACCGGCCACAUUGGGACAGGGAUACGACCCAGACUCAUUAGGGAGGCAGCAGUGGAGAAUAUUGCAAGACGGGCCGAAGCCGGAUGGAGCAACGCCGGGUGCGGGAUGACGGCCUUCGGGUUGUAAACCGCUUUCGCCUGUGACGAGGCGUGAGUGACGGUAAUGGGGAAAGAAGCACCGGCUAACUACGU
rnacentral:rRNA from 1 species